AUGCCUACCACCGAUUUGUCCAUUCAAGCCGCUGCUGUGGAGGCGAUCCUAUACCUCCGAACCAAGUUCCCGCAAGUGGCAGAUCGGAGGGAGUUCUGCUUCUUCCCCCUAGCGACAGCAUCUAGAAUUCAGCCUUCUCCCUCUAUCCAAGGGGAUGACCCUGCAAUCGCUCGCCUGGUGCAAUAUAUCACUAUCUUGGGGAUGAUGAUUUCAAGAAUGCUUGCCGAAUUCAGAACCUUGGACAACGAUGCGGUGCGAGUUGUCAAGGAAGCUUAUUAUGAGGCUCGUAAAUUCACAUCUCAAGUAGUUCACCCAACGCUAUCUGAGCCAGUGCUACCCUCUCAUCCUGUGUUGUGGCCUCAGCCAAACAUCAUCACCCUCGACAAGACUCCUUUCCGGAUCCACCAGCAGCAUAUGCUUGGAUUAAUUUCAGCCACACCCCCAGUCGCCGAACCUCAACCCAUAGUGAUCUCGGAUGAUGAAGAUGGAGAUUGGCUCAGUCUUCGUCCUCCCGGAGAACCCCAGCAAAGCAAGCCCUCAGCUUGA
rnacentral:rRNA from 1 species